CAGGCCUAGAAAUAUCUUGGAUAACCUAUGUACUUCUUAGAGGUCAUAAUCCCACUUUCCUUUAAUCAAUUUCCUGAUACUGUUUAAGUUUCUUUUUCUUUAUACUAAGGCAUGUAAUUUUCUAUUCAUAGUUGCAAGUUUCAUCAAAUAUUUAUUGUCUCAGCACUGUAUUUUGCGUUAUUUUAAGAGAGGAACAAUGACAUUCGGAGAUUAGUUGAAGAAUUGUGAUUAAUAAACAUAUUAGAGUUAAUACAUGAACUGAUUUCCUCACCGCAGGGAAUGCUCUAGGGCAAAGCAAUUGCAGAAACUCCAUUGAUGCACUUGUAGAAAUAAAAGCAAAUUUGCUUCAUGAAACAAGUACUGAAUCUUUUGGUUUUCACAUUUUGUUGGUGUGCUUUUACCCAACUAGAUGAUGUCCUUAACCAACCUCAGGGACUUAACAC